AAAUUACAGAAAACCCCCCUGUAAUAACCCGCUUUUUCACUUUCCCCCCUGACAUUUAAAAACCUACACUUUGCCCCCUUGUAAAAUGAAAAAUGUUCACGGGGGGGUCACGGUGUGUAAAAUGACCAUUUUGCCCCUCGCCAUUGUUGUCUUCUUCCUGAGCUUCCUCAGCCGCCCCUUCGAUCCACCGCUAUUUCCACCUCAAUCGGCCACGAUUCCUCUCCAAUUUCUUCUCCACCUGCUCCCCUUCUCCUCCUACACCGUCGCCGCCCAUCGAUUUCGGCGACAGUAGGGAGGAUACUAAGAUGGGUGUUGAUGGAGAGGUAGGCAGAGACAACGAGGGCGAAGGCGAGGCGGCGGAGGAGGACGAAAGGGNAACGGUUUCCACUAUUGGAAUCCGUUGAGGAUUUUAAUGUUCAACCCAUUCUCUUUAUAAAUUAGAUUAUUCCUCUACAUACUGUUCAUGAUAUAUGAAUAUUGUAGAGAGAAGUAAAAGAGAUGAAAUUUUUUUUUGUUUAAUAUUUUUAUCAUUAGGUGUUGAAAGAGUAUUCGUCAAUCUCUUCGGCGUUCGUGCUCGUAGGAGGAGGAAUUCCGGUCAUAACUUGGGGCGGUGUUUCCGGUUAAUCCCGCACGUAAGGACGGGAAUACGUCUUAGGGCAGUGCCUCGCACGCUUCUGGAUCAAUCAAAUUAUUUAUUUGGAUUUUAGCGUUUAUUUGUAAGUCUGAUUUUAUCUUUAUCAUAAAAUUAGUUAGAUUUAAUCACAAUCAGAUUUUCUUUGCGGUAUUUGUUCUAACAGAUAUAAUAAUGUCAUUGGUCUACAUAUUGUCCCAAAUCAUUUCAUACUAGUGAAGGCCCCGCACUUCGCAGCGAGAAAUUUACGUAAUUUUUAAAAUCUUUUGAAUAGACUAUUCAACAUUAUUUACUAAAGUUGGUUAUAAAAUUUAAGCAAUACAGAAAUGAAUAAUUAAAUAUUUAAAUUUUAAAUUUUUUUAUUAUCCAAAAUUUAAAUUUAAAUUUAAAAUAUAAAAUAUUGAAGUUUCAAAUUUAAAUUUUAACAUAUGAAGUUGAAAUUUCAAUAUUUAGAAUUUAAUAUUUGAAUUUUUUAAAUUCAAUUUAUGAUUUAAUAUUUAAAAUAUUGAAAUUUGAAAUUUAAAGUUUAGAACUUAAAAUUUUCAAAAAAUUAUAUUUUAU
rnacentral:lncRNA from 1 species